UUGAAAACCAGAAAAAGAAAACAAAAGAGCCGAAGCUCUAAUCAAGUUGUAGCUUUGAGUUGGUGAAAUAAAAAGUGUGUGUUUGUUUGUUAUACAGCCUAUACAUAUUAAUAUUGCGUGUGUUUAAAUACUUAUAUGGUCCAUUUCGUUUCCAACAGAAUUGAAGUUUGCUAAACAAUGAAGAAAAUGCUUCAAAACUAGGGGUAAGAAUGUCAGAUUAUUGAAUUAUACUACAAUCUUGAAAAAUAAAAAUUUUCACUGUACGUUUAUGCUAUAUACUGUUUGGUUAUUUCAGGGGUUUUUAUGAGUAUACAAUUGUUUACCAAGUACAGUGAAGCCAGGGGUACCCAUUAGCUCUAAGCAGUACAUGUUAUAACAUAUAAAACAAAGGCAAAAAGUUCUGCUCUCCUGCUGCCAAGAAGGCCGAUGUUGUUGACGUGGAGGCGUGAGAGUCGUUGGAUGUGAUCUGUUCUGCUAGUUUUUACUGUUUUAGUUUAAUGUGGUUAAUGGGAUGCAGGUCUAGGCUAGUAGUAGUCUAGUCAUAAAAGUUCAGUAUUUUGGGUGUUUAGAUGGAUGGUUAAAUUUGAACUUGAUAGACAGCUUUGUAUACAACCCUCUAGACAGGAAGUUGCUUUCUAUAUUAUAUCUACAGCCCGGUGAUGUAUGCUUCUGUUCUUGCGGCUAAUCCUACAAAACACAAUCAGUUUGCUCUCGGGCUUAGUGAUGGUGGCGUACUUGUUAAAAAACUUCGGAGGAUAUUGGAAAUGGCUAUGUAGCAUGCCAUAGCUUGAGACCAGCAACAAAUGAAAACUUGAUAUGAGCUUUUGUGAUAAUCAGAGCCGGGUGUCUCUUAGAAUCUGAAUGUUUUAGCACAUACAUGUACAGAUUGGAUUAGUGCAAGGGUUUUAAAGAUGUUUUUCUGCUUGGCUAUGUUAACUAAUAAAUUUUCAAUGCGAAU
rnacentral:lncRNA from 1 species